GAUAUCAGCCAGAUGGCAGGGCAGAAGUGGUGUGGCUAGCAGCCCAGCAAGCGGCGAAGUGUCAUCUUCAAAAUGACCAUCCAUUGGAAUUGGGGCUACAGGAAAAUGUGGCCCAACCUAAAAAAGAAACACAAGGAACUGAAGCCUCCACUGUCCAGGAGUGGGACUGACAACCAUCACCAGGGAUCAUGCUGCCUGCUGGUAGAGAGUUGUGUGUCAUCAUGCGCUGAUCUAGAAAAGCCUGUGAAAACAUCCAAAAACUCUACCUGGUGAUCACUUAGGCUGCUUCUAGACUUCACAUUGCAAGCCUGAUUGCUCAAAUCUGAUAUUUUGCUCAAAUCCGAUCUCUCUGACACGAUGGUUCACACUCGCUUAGGUAAGCGACUCAAA